GAUGAACGCUGGCGGUGGGCCUAAUACAUGCAAGUCGAGCGGACGGACGAGAAGCUCUCUUCACUGAUGUUAGCGGGGGGCGGGCGAGUAAAAAGUAGAUAACCAACCUAUAAGACUUGGAUAACUUCGGGAAAACGGAGACGAUAAUGGAUAAUACUAUCUACGGCAUGGUUCAAGAGAUCAAGAUGGUCUUCCUGUUACUCAUAGACGGAUCCGGGUUGCAUUAGCUAGUUGGUAAGGUAACGGCUAACCAAGGCAACGAUGCGUAGCUGACCUGAGAGGGUGAUCGGCCACACUGGAACUGAGACACGGUCCAGACUCCUACGGGAGGCAGCAGUAGGGAAUCUUGCACAAUGGGCGAAAGCCUGAUCGAGCCACGCCGCGUGUGUGAAGAAGGUCUUCGGAUCGUAAAGCUCUUUUAUUGGGGAAGAACAUAUGUGUAAUAAUACGUCCACAUCUUGACGGUACCUAAUGAGUAAGCCACGGCUAGCUUCGUG
rnacentral:rRNA from 1 species